GAUGAACGCUAGCUACAGGCUUAACACAUGCAAGUCGAGGGGAAACGACAUCGAAAGCUUGCUUUUGAUGGGCGUCGACCGGCGCACGGGUGAGUAACGCGUAUCCCACCUGCCCAUCACUUAGGAAUAACCUUGCGAAAGUAAGACUAAUACCCAAUGAUAUCCCACGAAGGCAUCGGAAUGGGAUUAAAGAUUUAUCGGUGAUGGAUGGGGAUGCGUCUGAUUAGCUUGUUGGCGGGGUAACGGCCCACCAAGGCAACGAUCAGUAGGGGUUCUGAGAGGAAGGUCCCCCACAUUGGAACUGAGACACGGUCCAAACUCGUACGGGAGGCAGCAGUGAGGAAUAUUGGUCAAUGGGCGAGAGCCUGAACCAGCCAAGUAGCGUGCAGGAAGACGGCCCUAUGGGUUGUAAACUGCUUUUAUAAGGGAAUAAAGUGGGUCACGUGUGACUUUUUGCAUGUACCUUAUGAAUAAGGACCGGCUAAUUCCGUG
rnacentral:rRNA from 1 species